GACGAACGCUGGCGGCGUGCUUAACACAUGCAAGUCGAACGAUGAAGAAGAGAAACGCGAACUUCGGUUCAACUUUCACUUCGGAUUAGUGGCAGACGGGUGAGUAACGCGUGAGCAACCUACCUCUUACAAAGGGAUAGCCUCGGGAAACCGUGAUUAAUACCAUAUGACACAUUCAUAAGGCAUCUUAAGAAUGUUAAAGCUACGGCGGUAAGAGAUGGGCUCGCGUCCCAUUAGCUAGUUGGUGAGGUAACGGCCCACCAAGGCGACGAUGGGUAACCGGCCUGAGAGGGUGACCGGUCACAUUGGAACUGAGACCCGGUCCAAACUCCUACGGGAGGCAGCAGUGGGGAAUAUUGCACAAUGGAGGGAACUCUGAUGCAGCGACGCCGCGUGAGCGAUGAAGGAAUUCGUGUCGUAAAGCUCUGUUCUAUGGGAAGAAAAGGACUGUACCAUAGGAGAAAGCCCCGGCUAACUACGUG
rnacentral:rRNA from 1 species